UUUUUACACUUGAUCUCUGAACUUUAGGUAAGUUCAUGUUGACAAGUUCACAUUACUGAUGCC
rnacentral:snoRNA from 1 species